CUACGGGGCGCAGCAGUGGGGAAUAUUGGACAAUGGGGGAAACCCUGAUCCAGCAAUGCCGCGUGUGUGAAGAAGGCCUGCGGGUUGUAAAGCACUUUCGGUUGGGAGGACUGCUUCUAGCACUAAUAUUGUUGGAAGUUGACGUUACCUUCAGAAGAAGCACCGGCUAACUCCGUGCCAGCAGCCGCGGUAAUACGGAGGGUGCAAGCGUAAUCGGAAUUACUGGGCGUAAAGCGCGCGUAGGCGGCUAGAUCAGUCGGGUGUGAAAGCCCCGGGCUUAACCUGGGAACUGCAUCCGAUACUGUCUAGCCUGAGUACAGGAGAGGAGAGUGGAAUUCCACGUGUAGCGGUGAAAUGCGUAGAUAUGUGGAGGAACACCAAUAGCGAAGGCAGCUCUCUGGCCUGAUACUGACGCUGAGGUGCGAAAGCGUGGGGAGCAAACAGGAUUAGAUACCCCAGUAGUC
rnacentral:rRNA from 1 species